AGAUUUAUUUUAAUGUGAAAUAGAAGGGUGAUGUUAUUUAAGGUACUAUUAAGUCUCUUAGUUUUCAUUAGUUAUUUAGGAAGAGUUAUUACAUUAUAUACUGUAAAGGGGUAGAAGUUAGUUUUAGCUAAGUAGGAGUUCUUUGUACCUUUUGUCUCAGGGUUUGUUAAAGUUUUAAAUUGAUUUUGAUUUCCCGAGAGAAAAUGAGCUAUCUAUCUUUCCUUGGUUGUGUCAUAAAGUAGGGUAAUAGAUGGGUAGAAGUGAGAUGUUAACGUAUUUUCAGUUAGCUGGUUCUAGCAAAAAUUUUAGGUAGUACAAGGUAACUUAUUAGUUUGUAUUAAGUCUAUUAGGGUUAAGCUUAAUAUUCUAUUGUUAUAUAGAGGGGAUAGAGGGUUUAGAGUAAGUUUAAGAGUUACUUUGUGUUUUAUAACAGAACUGAAUAGGUUAUUAUUAAUAUGUUAUGCUAGGGUCUUAGUACCUUCUAUUUAUUAUUAACAAUGGUAAAAUUAGUAGAAGUUAUGUUGUUUAGUUUAUAGUGGAGCUUGAGUUAUYGUAUAAKGGGAUAAGGUGCCAAUAAGGAAUUCGGCAAAAGUUAUUUUCAACUGUUUAUCAAAAACAUUUCUUUAGGAGGUUAAACUAAGGUAAGUUCUGCCCCCUGAUUGUUGGUUAAAGGGCCGCAGUAGCCUGACUGUGCUAAGGUAGCAUAAUCAUUUGGUUUUUAAUUGGGAUCUGGAAUGAAUGGAUAAAUGAGAAUGGGCUGUCUAUUGGUAGUGUUCGAAUUUAAAUUUUUAGUAAAAAUGCUGGAAUGUGCUUGUGGGACGAUAAGACCCUAUAAAGCUUUAUUUAGGCUAUUUUAUGGGUUUUGACUACCUUAAGGUGUGUUUGAAUUGGGCUGGGGUGGUCACUAAUUAACUUAGUGAAGAUUUGUUAGCUUCUGAUCCAYUAGUAGUGAAUUAAGAUUAAGUUACUUUAGGGAUAACAGUAUGAUAUGUUCAUGGAGUUCUAAUCGAAGAACAUGAUUGUUACCUCGAUGUUGAAUUAAUUUUAUUGUAGGGUGAAGAAGCUUUAUGAGUUAGUCUGUUCGACUAUUAAAUGUUUACAUGAUUUGAGUUCAAACCGGUUUGAGCCAGGUU
rnacentral:rRNA from 1 species